rnacentral:rRNA from 1 species
CCUACGGGCGGCAGCAGUGAGGAAUAUUGGUCAAUGGACGAGAGUCUGAACCAGCCAAGUAGCGUGAAGGAUGACUGCCCUAUGGGUUGUAAACUUCUUUUAUAUGGGAAUAAAAUGUUCCACGUGUGGGAUUUUGUAUGUACCAUAUGAAUAAGGAUCGGCUAACUCCGUGCCAGCAGCCGCGGUAAUACGGAGGAUCCGAGCGUUAUCCGGAUUUAUUGGGUUUAAAGGGAUCGUAGGUGGAUUGUUAAGUCAGUUGUGAAAGUUUGCGGCUCAACCGUAAAAUUGCAGUUGAAACUGGGAGUCUUGAGUACAGUAGAGGUAGGCGGAAUUCGUGGUGUAGCGGUGAAAUGCUUAGAUAUCACGAAGAACUCCGAUUGCGAAGGCAGCUCACUGGACUGCAACUGACACUGAGGCUCGAAAGUGUGGGUAUCAAACAGGAUUAGAUACCCUUGUAGUC